rnacentral:rRNA from 1 species
UACGAAGGUGGCAAGCGUUGUUCGGAUUUACUGGGCGUACAGGGAGCGUAGGCGGUUGGAUAAGCCCUCCGUGAAAUCUCCAGGCUUAACCUGGAACAGUCGGAGGGGACUGCUGGGCUAGAGGACGGGAGAGGAGCGCGGAAUUCCCGGUGUAGCGGUGAAAUGCGUAGAGAUCGGGAGGAAGGCCGGUGGCGAAGGCGGCGCUCUGGAACGUUUCUGACGCUGAGGCCUGAAAGCGUGGGGAGCAAACAGG